rnacentral:rRNA from 1 species
GAUGAACGCUAGCGGCAGGCCUAAUACAUGCAAGUCGGACGGAAUGCAGGAGCUUGCUUCUGAUGAGAGUGGCGCACGGGUGCGUAACACGUAUGUAACCUACCUUUUUCAGUGGGAUAGCCUCUCGAAAGAGAGAUUAAGCCCGCAUAAAAUCACAGCACAGCUUUGUGUAGUGAUCAAAUAUUUAUAGGAUAAAGAUGGGCAUGCGGAACAUUAGAUAGGUGGCGGGGUAACGGCCCACCAUGGCGACGAUGUUUAGGGUAUCUGAGAAGAAGGCACCCUAGACUGGAACUGAGACACCGGCACGAAUACAACGGACGGAGGCAGUAGGGAAGAUUGAUCGAUGCAUGGAAAACUAAACCAGCAAUGCCGAGUGACCAACGACGGCCGUCAGGGUUGUAAACUGCUUUUAUAAGGGAAUAAACCCAGAUACGUGUAUCUGGCUGAAUGAACUGGAAGAAUAAGGAUCGGCGAACUCCGU